rnacentral:tRNA from 1 species
CGGGCUGUAGGAAAACUUGGUUAAUCCGCCUGGUUUGGGUCCAGGAGAAUCGGGGUUCGAAUCCCCGCAGCCCGAC